UCAACCAUUCAGUUAUGACGAUUCUUCACGUUGUGUCUGGCUUGAAUGCAAUCGUAUCGAAAUGCCUUUCUCCACAUCAACUUGUUAUCUUUUUCAACAACAAAAAAAAGAAAAUUGAAUAUUUUCUGUCCCAAAUGAAAACCUCUAAAUUAAGUCAAACUAAGACCUAGGAGGCUAGCUUUAAAUCCUCACUGGUUGUUGUAAGGGUAAUGGAAAUCAUGUAUGUAAAGCUUUUUGAACUGCAGUGGAACCUUGGUUUUUUAAUGUAAUCCGUUCUGGAAGUCCGUUUGACUUCCGAAACAUUCGAAAACCAAGGCGCAGCUUCCGAUUGGCGCAGGCGCCCUGGAAACAACAGCUGACAACUGCAUCGGACGUUUGGGUUCCGAUAAAUGUUCAAAAACAGGAAGAGUUGAGUACAGUACCAAGGCAUUGGAGAACCAAGGUUCUACUGUACUAUAUAAAUGUUCAGCAUUGUGACUUUGUAUGAUGAACUGGUAUUUCUGUUCCCUCAUUUCACAAGGGGAGGUUUUAACUUCACAUUUGAACUGCUUUCAGGCUGCAGUUCUUAAAUGGAGUUGCCAGGGCAAGAGAGAUAAUUGCUUCCAUCUGUAUUAUAUUACCUCAUGGCAUGAUUCUCAAAAAUGGCAGUCAAACUGGUCUUGUUUGAUUAGGGUAUCGUUUGGCAUUAAAGAUGUUUAAAAUGUAUAGACGGCUCAAAUUGAGAAGUGUAAGAAACUAUUUGGCAGCAAUAGUAAGCAGUACAGAAACUU